rnacentral:misc_RNA from 1 species
UUCCUCCUUUUCCCACUUCCUCCUGGACAAACAAUCAAGCAUAUGUGGAUGCCAAAUACACACACAUGCGCAUAUGUGAUCAGUGCAAACAUAUAAAGCAUAAUAAACAUAAAAGCAUAUUAUGAAAAAUAUUAAAGAUGCAAAAGCCUUCCAAAAUAAGUCAAGAUGUAGCAAACAAAUCUAUGAAAUAUGUAUAGUUUCUUUACACCUCAAAUAAUUUUGCAGCAGUUUGAUUAUCAUUAAAUCAUUCAGAAAAAUCUGUUUGAUUAUAUUUUCUCAAUCCUUAUGAUUAUUUCCAAUGGCCUAUAUUAUCAAAGAAUUUGGUACAACAUAUUUGCUAGUAUGAAGCAUGGAAGGUCAAAUGCAUUCGAAAAAAAAAAAAAAAAGA